AAAAAGACAAACCCUGAGUUUCCGUGUCCAACGUUUGGCUGUCCGUCUUAUAUGAAAUUUUUUUUAUAAUUAGUAUUUUCAUUGUUAUUAGAUGAUAAAACAUGAUUAAUACUUUAUACGUGACUUGUUUUUUUUAAUUUUUUUCAUAAUUUUUUCAAAUAAGACGGACGGUCAAACGUUGGACACAGAAACCUAGUGUUUGUCUUUCU
rfam:Oryza sativa (indica cultivar-group) chromosome 11, whole genome shotgun sequence.